AACGAACGCUGGCGGCAGGCUUAACACAUGCAAGUCGAACGCAUCCUUCGGGGUGAGUGGCAGACGGGUGAGUAACGCGUGGGAACGUUCACUUCAGUUCGGGAUAAACAAGGGAAACUUGGGCUAAUCCCGGAGACGUGCGUGAGCAGAAAGAUUUAUCGCUGAAGGAUCGGCCCGCGUCUGGUUAGCUAGUUGGUGGGGUAAGGGCCCAACAAGGCGACGAUCAGUAGCGGGUCUGAGAGGAUGAUCAGCCACAUUGGGACUGAGACACGGCCCAAACUCCUACGGGAGGCAGCAGUGGGGAAUAUUGGACAAUGGGCGCAAGCCUGAUCCAGCCAUGCCGCGUGAGUGAUGAAGGCCUUAGGGUUGUAAAGCUCUUUCGUCCGGGACGAUAAUGACGGUACCGGAAGAAGAAGCCCCGGCUAACUUCGUGCCAGCAGCCGCGGUAA
rnacentral:rRNA from 1 species